CGGGGUGCAGCAGGCGCGAAAACUUUACAAUGCGGGAAACCGUGAUAAGGGGACACCGAGUGCCAGCAUCAUAUGCUGGCUGUCCAGGUGUGUAAAAUACACCUGUUAGCAAGGGCCGGGCAAGACCGGUGCCAGCCGCCGCGGUAACACCGGCGGCCCGAGUGGUGAUCGUGAUUAUUGGGUCUAAAGGGUCCGUAGCCGGUUUGGUCAGUCCUCCGGGAAAUCUGACGGCUCAACCGUUAGGCUUUCGGGGGAUACUGCCAGGCUUGGAACCGGGAGAGGUAAGAGGUACUACAGGGGUAGGAGUGAAAUCUUGUAAUCCCUGUGAGACCACCUGUGGCGAAGGCGUCUUACCAGAACGGGUUCGACGGUGAGGGACGAAAGCUGGGGGCACGAACCGGAUUAGAUACCCGGGUAGUCCCAGCCGUAAACGAUGCUCGCUAGGUGUCAGGCAUGGCGCGACCGUGUCUGGUGCCGCAGGGAAGCCGUGAAGCGAGCCACCUGGGAAGUACGGCCGCAAGGCUGAAACUUAAAGGAAUG
rnacentral:rRNA from 1 species